UUUUUGCGUUAACGAUUGAAGCGACAUCCUUUUUGUUUUCACAAAAAGAUACAGCGAAAAGCGUGUUAAAAC
rnacentral:sRNA from 1 species